CAGCCGUACCAUGCUGAAUAUACCGGUUCUCGUUAGAUCACCGAAGUCAAGCAUCAUUGGGCGCGGUCAAUACUUGGGUGGGUGACCACCUGGGAACACCACGUGCCGUU
rnacentral:rRNA from 1 species